rnacentral:lncRNA from 13 species
AUGAUAACCGGAUGUUCGUUCCUGACACCGUCCGCGCCACGUUCCUGGAGUGGGCCCACUCCUCCAGGCUGCCCUGCCACAAGGCGCCUGUCGGACCCUGGCCUUUAUGCGACAGCGCUUUUGCGCUUCCUACCAUGGUCCUUCCAGCGCUCCCUACCAUGGUCCAGGACGUGUCCGCAUUCGUCGCCGCUGCACAGUUUGUGCACAGAACAGGACUCAUUCGCAAGCUCCAGCUGGUCUCCUCCAACCACUGCCUGUCCCCCACCGUCCCUGGUCUUACAUGUCAUGGGUCUUCCACCGUCUGAUGGACACACCACCAUCCUGACCGUGGUGGAUCGGUUCUCCAAAGCCGCCACUUCAUUCCUCUCCCCAAACUACCCUCGGCCAAAGAGAUGGCCCAGCUCAUGGUGCAGAAGGUCCUCAGUUCUCGUCCCAGUUCUGGAAGGCGUUCUGCACCCUCAUUGGGUCGUCGACCAGCCUGUCCUCCGGGUUUCACCCCCAGGCCAACGGCCAGUCAGAGCGUGCCAACCAGGACCUCGAGACCACCCUGCGCUGCCUGGUCUCUGCCAACCCAACCACCCGGAGCCAGCAGCUUGUGUGGGUCAAAUAUGCCCGCAACACCCUUCCCUGCUCUGCCAUGGGCCUAUCUGCCUUCGAGUGUUAACUGGGGUAUCAGCCCCCACUCUUGAGGAGGGCCUGAUUGGCCUUCAAGACCACCUCCAGGUUUCGAUGACAAGCAGAUCGCCAUCAGUCCCCGGCUCCCCGGUAUCGUUUCGGGCAGAAGGUAUGGCUCUCCACCCGGGAUCUGCCGGUCCGGGUGGAGUCUCACAAACUGUCCCCCGGUUUAGCCCCUCUGCUGUUCGUCUUCUGUUGCCCUGUACCCUUCGUAUACACCUCACCUUUCAUGUCUCCCGUAUCAAGUCUGUGUCUCACAGUCCUUUGUCUUCCAUUUCCAGGGCCCACCCUUCCUCCCUGUGUCGUCGAAGGCCAUCCAGUGUACACGGCGAGACUCCUCCUGAGGAGUUCGACCAGGAUUAUGCACAGGGAAGCAAAUGCAUGACAGCCAUUGUCUCUGAAGAAUUAUUCAUAGCCCAAUAG